CUGACAAGUUCAAGGCUGUCGCCUUGCUGCUAAAUCUUGUUGCCAAGGCAAUGCAACAUAAGGAAAGAGCCUAGAGAAAUGAAUUCUGCUGACAGCUCGUGCCAGCAGGCUCAGUCGGAUUAAAAGGGAACUUUUGAAAGUAACAUUAACUUAAAUAGCGCAAGAGCAGCAGAAGAGAAAGGGGAGCAUGGAGAUGGAGGAGAGGAUCCACAGGAGGAGCAGUGGGUUAGUGUCAAGCAACAGGACCAUUUCAUCAUGUGCCUCUUGCAGUACAGUGGCAGUGCACCCAGCAGUAUACCUGAGACCACCAAGUGCCCUAUGGGGGAGUGGCACCUGCUGUGGAUUGUGGAAAAGCCAAGUCUUCGCCAUGGCUAGCUGUGAGAAAUCAUAUGAACAGAAAGAAGAGGAAAACAUGGUUCAGGCAGCUGUGAAGGGAACAUAACACUGCUCCAGGGGAUGCUUUUAUUUGAAGACUGUCCAUUAGAUAAAGAAGUGUGAGAAUCAUAGAACCAAGCAUGAGCAUAUUUUUGAAUAAGAAAGCAAAAGGAAGCUCUGUUUUUAGUCUUAGUUGAAUUUCUCUGCUGGUGAUUCCACACAUGGUGUUACUUCUUAACACAUCCAGAAGAAGGUUUCAAAGUCUUCCAGAAUAUCCUUCCUUUUUUCUGAAGAGAUGCAUACACAGAAGUCUGGCUAGUGAAAAGACAAAACCAUAUGGUCAGGUCACGCAGCAACAUCAACACUUACUUGCUCUGCAGGAUCCCACAGCAUUUCCAAGACCUGGCUAUCCUGUCUGGAGGUCCCAUCUGCCCUUGAUGCCUGUGACAGUAGGGCCCUUCUUGGAAGGUUUCUAGACCAUCUUACCACGCCGAGCAUGUUGUGUGAUGUCUCCUCCAGAACAGAUGGGAUGCAUAGAGGAAGCUCACACCACCUGAAAGGAAACCAUGGCUGAAUCGCACUGCAGCUAAGUGCACCCUGGCACACUCCAAAACACAGGGCACAACCAAAGGGCAUCACCUUCUGCUUUCUUCUGCCUCCUACCCCUCUUCUCUGGUGUGCCCCUAUUCAGCUGCUUGAGGGCUGCCCCCAGAGAACAGAGAAGCAAUGUGGUGCCGGGACAGUGUGUCUUAAAGAUAGCUGAUAGCAGAGUAGACAGAGCUAUUUCCAGAAUGAUUAAUACUAUUAGAAUAUGCUGAAGCUUAAGGCUGAACAUGAGCUUUAGAGGAAUGGAUAUUGAUGUAAAAAGUGAAUAAACGAGACGACUGUCAGAACAAUGAGUGGUGAACCAAGUAAAGAUUCUUAGCGUAGGAGAUGUAAAACAGUGCCUGCUCUCCUGAUUUCAUGGAAGCCACUGGUAAAAUUUCCAUUGCCCUUCAGGCCGGAGAAAUUGCACAGCAACGGCAUGUGGAACAGAGGUAACAAAACGAGCAGACAGCAAGGCCACUUCCAUAGCUAACUAGUUCCCCCCCAGCGCAAAGGAUGCACCACCACUCCUGGAGCCUGUUCAGGGGAAUCUUUGUACUGCCCUUUACUGUACAUACCUUGAGUGCUUGCAAGUGUACCAGUCUGAGGGCUCGUCCUGUUGCUGAAUGAAAAGCACAUCUUAAAAGGGCGAUCUUCACUAUAGUAUCCUCUCAAAAUGCCCACUCUGAAGGUCUCAAAUGCCAUAACUGAAAACCUCCUGCUCAUCUUCCGAAAGUCAGGUUUAACCUACUCUAGGCAGCCCCCAGAAGGGCAGUAUUUUGCAUAAACCAUUACAUUGCAGGGUAUACGAUUAGCAUUUUUCUGUUUUUCUUCUCCUGGAACUUUACUCCCAGGAGAGCAGGCAAACCAUAGCUGUGCAAUAUCCUCUUCCCCAGGUCCCUUUUUUAACCCUAAUCAUCAAGGAUAUUUGUUUUCCUAAGAAGAUCACAUUGUAUGGGCAGUUUUUAAUUUUUUUAUUGAAAAUCUAUUCCUCUCUUUCUUACAUGAGAUGUCUUGGCAAUAUAUGUCUCAAACAAAUUCAUCUGGUGGGGGUUGUUACCUUAGAUCUGUGUCUGCAAUGAAGUCACAUGCUCAGCGUGCUCCUCUGGAAUAGCUAAUUCAGCCUGGACCGAGCCACAUGAUCCCCUUUUCCAGUCUUGCCUUAUGGCCUCUGAGGAAUGUUGCAUUGGCUGCGAGGGAAUUACUAGGUCUUGGCAAGACAUGUUAAUAUCCUCGCAAAGACUUGUUAGGGACCAAGACUUCAGCCUCCAAGUAUUUCCUCUGAUAAAGCAGAGUGUUCACAGCAGUUCAUUAGUCUUGAAUCACCAGUCUGACUUUGAGAGAAACAAAACUUCCCCACAACACAGAAGGACUCUGCAAGUAAAGCUGUCCGGUGUUGCCUGCCUGAUAGGGGGCUUCAAAACAGAAGCACUAAGUGUUGGAUCUAGUUAGAGAAAUCAGUGUCUCAGGAGACUUCAGUCAAGGGUUGGGAAAACACAAACCCAGGUGGAAGAGAGUUUACGAAUUCUGGCAACACCUUCUGCACUGGGAUUUGAAGGAGAAUUAUACAAAGUCUGUCAGGAGAUCUGAAAAGCUGGACUUUCAUAUGUGAAGAUGCAAAUUUGAUGUUUUCUCCUAAAGGUGUGCCCAUGUUCAUACAUAAAGUUUGUAGCAGCAACAGAACUACAGUCCCACUUUAUUAUACCUGUUGUUUUGGCGUAUUUUUAACAUCCAGUUUAAUCUUUCCAUUAGCAUCUGAAAUUACACUGAUAAUCCUUGAAAGCACCAGAGUGUGACUAUCAUAUCUGCAGCUGGAUCUCUCUGCUCGGAAGCUGGUUACAUAGUAUGGAAAGUAUUUUUGCUAUAUCAUUUGAAUGGUUGAUAACAAUAUCACAAAGUGAAGGGUUUGUAUUGUUCAUCCAUGAGAUGGAGAGGAACCACUCCUGCAGCCCCAGCACAUUGCUGUUCCAAGUGCCUGCUCGCAGGGCAGAGACGCAAGGUCAAAGUUACACAUUCUGUAAACCAGGAGCAAUUUUUGCAAAGCAUUGGGGGCACAGCACUGGUGUGAGUAACAGAAUGCAGAUCAUGAAACAGGUCCCUCAGUGAUGGCUUUCAAAAGCACCUGUGUCACUGAUCUGGGCUUUAGAGGACACCGUUAACCGAGUCAUUUCCCUAAGAGCUGGCCCCCAGCAGCAGCAAGUGGCCCCAGCCCCAGAGGCUGGAGCACUCAACCUGAGUAAGGGUAUCAGUGAGAUGCUCAGAAGCUCCCAACUGACUCACCACUCAGUUUCUUGGCCGUGUGCUCGUCUCUUUGCACCUCAGGUGUUGGAAAAGGAAGUGAAACAGCCGGUUCUCAUGUAUAUGUUCAACAGCUUUGAAAAGCCCCCGAUGGUGAAAAAAUGGAGCAGAGCUGUGAGGUCUGAAGCUGUUUUUCUCCCUGAACACCAAGCAGGAUGCCGGAUCCAUAGCUGCAGUUUAGUUUGACAGAGGGCCAACUCCAAUACCACCUUUCUCAUCUGAUUUAAUGUCAGCUGAACAUUUGUGUGCCGUUUUCCCAUUCAGCACCAUCCAAGCGUAUACCACAGACUAAAGCUUCAUUAACCUUCUACUGAGUGAUGGCACAAAUUUCAGCCUUCUUCAGUGCCAUUUGCUGUCACACAACUCAUAUUUUUGACACUGGGAUCCAAAUCAGGACCCCAGUUCAGCAGCUAUUCAAGGAUGCAUCCCAUUCCAGCCUCCCUUGGGCUGUGCAUGUCCUUAGUUAAGUACAUGUUUAAAUAAUUCACUACAGCCAUGCUUAAGCCUCGAGAAAAAGCAUCACAGCAGAAGGACAGAGAACCAGCUCAAGCAACCAUACACGAUGAGAUGUGUUUAAGCCAGCUCAUGGAUAAUCCUGUGUGUACGUACCACAAAUCCACAACAUAACUCACUGUCCUGCUUGGCAGAAGAGUUUUGUUGCCUCUUGGGAAACAAGAAUUCCUGAUCAAAGACUGUCCUUGUAGAACAAAUAAUCAAACCAAACUAAUGCAUGUGUAUGUGUAUAUAUAUAUUUAGUUCACAUGGAUUCAUAUGACAUGUUUCAUAUGCUAUUGUCAGUCCCUCUUGAGAGGGCAGAAACUGAUGGGGAAGUUGUAGAUACACAGAAAGCAUGGGAAUUUUCUAGUGAACUUAAGCAUGGCAGAGAGACUGUUCGCUGAGGUCGUAAAAGACUUCUGCAGCAUGCUAAUUAUGUACUAGCCAAAUCUUAUUACAAACAAGUAAUAAGUAUAGGCACAUUUGUUGGUUUUGCUAAUGACAUUAAUGCCUUUUUUGAUGAUUUGCAGAGCUACAGGGAGCCAAAGACUUAAUUUGUACUGAUGUAUCUCCCACUCUGGUGAAGCCUAAGGAGGUCUGUCGAUGUCUGACAUCUUUUCACCAUCUAUCUUUAGACAAUUCAAAGUCUGCUCUCUGCAUAGUACUUUGAGCUGCUGCUUCUGCUGUGUAACACACAUUCAGAACUCUACUUAGAUAGUGGAUCUGUGUAUUAUUUUCUAGUAUAUUAGUGAUGGCAUGUAGAAUUACACAUUUCUGUUGUUAAAGGGUAUUUGUGUUUUUACUCCUUCACAUUUUCUUUAUCUCCUUCAGCAAAAUGACUGUGGCACUACACAGUCUGCUAUGUAGAUUCAUUUAUCUUUCCCCUGUGGACCCCAGAGAAUUCAGAUACUCUGGUUAAAACCACUGACUUUGCAUUCUAGGGUAAGUCAUCAUGAGGGAAAGAGACAGUCUUGGAGCACGUUAAAACACAUUCUGAAGAAUUACCAAGGAUUUGCUGGACAAAGACAAGCAAAGGUCUUUCUCUUGCACACUAUCCACAUAAUUCUGCAACUGAUUUGUUUUGAUUUUCCAGCGUCUAUUUGCACAGGCUUGAUCAUAAGUCCCACUGCCCUUCUCUGCUUCCUGUUUGAGAACAAACCGAGACAGUCAGCACAAGCAAUCUCACGUCCUUUAGUAUGAAAAUCACUGAAUAUGGUUUGUCUUGCCAGGGAAAUCAGUGCCGUAAGUAUGUGAGUAAUCCACUGACUUCAUAGGAAUAUCUUUGGACGGAUUUUUCAAGCGUGCUUUCAAUGGCCGCAGUGACAGAAGGACAGUGUGCUGAGCGCGCGGCUGCACGCUGCAGGGGAGCACCAGGGCGCUCCACAUAGAUGCUGCUGGCCUGUGCUGCCCUUUGGGAGCUCUGCUGCACUGGGGCACUGAGCUCCUGCCCCCCGGCUUUUGAGCUGGCUGUUCCUAGCAUUAGGCAUCCCUGGGAAUACACUCAGAAACUACAGAUGAGGUCAUUCCCAAGAGUCUGCUUAGGUAUUUGGGGCCCUUGAAGCUGAGAGGAGCUAAAAUCUUAUACUUUAUGAAUGGUUUUUAAAGGGAAAGUGGAACUCUUUUUUAUAGUACAUUAGCAGUUUGUUAAUCUUGAACAGGUAAAUUAUUAACUCCUCUACAAUUUGUUUAUCCUUAUCGUUAGAGAUUGUGCUAACAUAUGUUCUUCAAUCUUAUUUGCUUCAAAAGAGGCUUUGGGAGUAAUAGUUACCUAUGCAGAAUCCAAAAUCAAAUAUUAUUCAUGAACUAAUAUUGUUUAUGCAUAUCAACAACUUUGAAGCUGAUUUAAUAUCUGUGCUGUCCUUUCAAGUGAUUCAUAAAAUAUCAAAAGCAACAGCUUCCCCGAAAGGCCCGGCAUUUGACUUGGUGCUCUAAAAUUCAAAUGUUUUGUCCAGGAAAUAAUGCCACAUGGCCCUCUGCAGGUCCAGAGAAAGAACAAUAAACUCAGCAUGCAAAGAACCAUCACCACUGAGGGUGGGGGUGACUCUAGCUUUGCUCUAUAUCCAAUUUGUCCUGAGAUAGCGAAGAAGAAAGUGGAUGCUAACCCCAGAGCCUAGGAUAGGUAAAGAAAACCUUUUUCAGAGCUCCUGAAUCAACAGCCACAUCCCACAGCCUGUGACCUUCCACGCUCACAUUUCUCCUCUCCCCCAAGCAGUUGUACCGGGCUUCCCAUCAGGUAUGGGUCUGGCGACAGCACACCCCCCUGUCAGAGGUGGCAAUUCAGCUUUGAGUCACAGUUUAUGUG